UAAGAAAUUUCUCAUGGCCUGAACUGCAUGAGGGCAAGUGUAUAAAACCUGCCUCACACUGGAGUUUAGAGAGAGAAGAACUGCUCAAGGAGAACAGCUGCACAAAGAUAUAGACUCCAGAUAACUAUCAGUAAUUAUUGCAUAUUCCCGUCAUUGUGCACAAAGAUGAAACUUGUCAUUCAGAGCAUCAUUCUCUUGGUCUGUGGGGUCGCUUGCAAUUCAGCAAUUCUGAAAUGCCAUUGUUUACGGACAUCCAAGACAGUACAGCCCUCUCUCAUCAAAAAAGUUCAGGAGUUUCUGCCUCGUCCAUAUUGUAGCAAGCUGGAAAUCAUAGUCACACUAAAAAACAAUGUCAAAGUGUGUCUGGACCCCACCCAUAAAUUUGCAAAAGCAGUCCUGCAAUCUAUAAAAGUGAAAAGUGAAAGACAAGCUGAAGUCAGAACAAUGGGGUCGACAACGACCACAACGGCAGCGACAGCAGUGCCAACAUGGUCAUAAUGCCUGUUUUUGACAGAUGCUUUAAAAACUAAGCUAAAACAUUUGAAGAUGAAUAAAGCUAGCUUUUGAAAAUGUCAGCGAUGGAAAAAAACAUUUUAAAAUAAAUAUACAGCUAAAGUGAUUUAUGAAGCCAGUAAUAGUUUAAUAGUCUAUUUUCGAACAAACAAUUUUGCUAAAAUAUGUAACAUUUUUCUGUUUGUAAGAAAUGAAUUAUGCAUUUUCUACUGCACAUCUGUGUUCAAGGCUGAAAUCAUAAAGUGCAGGCACUUGAACUUUUGUGUUAUAAUCAAUUGAUUUGUAAUAAAAUGUAAAAAAUGCUGAACAGUA